UGUGGAAUAUUGGACAAUGGGGGGAACCCUGAUCCAGCCAUGCCGCGUGUGUGAAGAAGGCCUUAUGGUUGUAAAGCACUUUAAGCGAGGAGGAGGCUCUUUUGGUUAAUACCCAAGAUGAGUGGACGUUACUCGCAGAAUAAGCACCGGCUAACUCUGUGCCAGCAGCCGCGGUAAUACAGAGGGUGCGAGCGUUAAUCGGAUUUACUGGGCGUAAAGCGUGCGUAGGCGGCUUUUUAAGUCGGAUGUGAAAUCCCCGAGCUUAACUUGGGAAUUGCAUUCGAUACUGGGAAGCUAGAGUAUGGGAGAGGAUGGUAGAAUUCCAGGUGUAGCGGUGAAAUGCGUAGAGAUCUGGAGGAAUACCGAUGGCGAAGGCAGCCAUCUGGCCUAAUACUGACGCUGAGGUACGAAAGCAUGGGGAGCAAACAGG
rnacentral:rRNA from 1 species